GAUGAACGCUGGCGGCGUGCCUAACACAUGCAAGUCGAGCGAACGGACGAGAAGCUUGCCUCUCUGAUGUUAGCGGCGGACGGGUGAGUAACACGUGGAUAACCUACCUAUAAGACUGGGAUAACUUCGGGAAACCGGAGCUAAUACCGGAUAAUAUUUUGAACCGCAUGGUUCAAAAGUGAAAGACGGUCUUGCUGUCACUUAUAGCUGGAUCCGCGCUGCAUUAGCUAGUUGGUAAGGUACCGGCUUACCAAGGCAACGAUGCAUAGCCGACCUGAGAGGAUGAUCGGCCACACUGGAACUGAGACACGGUCCAGACUCCUACGGGAGGCAGCAGUAGGGAAUCUUCCGCAAUGGGCGAAAGCCUGACGGAGCAACGCCGCGUGAGUGAUGAAGGUCUUCGGAUCGUAAAACUCUGUUAUUAGGGAAGAACAUAUGUGUAAGUAACUGUGGACAUCUUGACGGUACCUAAUCAGAAAGCCACGGCUAACUACGUG
rnacentral:rRNA from 1 species